UGGGGAAUUUUGCACAAUGGGGGAAACCCUGAUGCAGCGACGCCGCGUGAUUUAGAAGGCCUUCGGGUUGUAAAAAUCUUUUCUAUGGGAAGAAAAUGACAGUACCAUAGGAAUAAGGACCGGCUAAUUACGUGCCAGCAGCCGCGGUAAUACGUAAGGUCCGAGCGUUGUCCGGAAUCAUUGGGCGUAAAGGGUACGUAGGCGGGUAAGCAAGUUAGAAGUGAAAUCCUAUAGCUCAACUAUAGUAAGCUUUUAAAACUGCUCAUCUUGAGGUAUGGAAGGGAAAGGGGCAUUCCUAGUGUAGCGGUGAGAUGCGCAUAUAUUAGGAGGAUUACCGGUGGCGAAGGCGACUUUCUGGCCAUAACCUGACGCUGAGGUACGAAAGCGUGGGUAGCAAACAGG
rnacentral:rRNA from 1 species